rnacentral:rRNA from 1 species
UACAGAGGUCCCAAGCGUUGUUUGGAUUCACUGGGCGUAAAGGGUGCGUAGGCGGUCGGGUAAGUCUGACGUGAAAUCUUCAAGCUCAACUUGGAAACUGCGUCGGAUACUAUUCGGCUAGAGGAAUGGAGGGGAGACUGGAAUACUUGGUGUAGCAGUGAAAUGCGUAGAUAUCAAGUGGAACACCAGUGGCGAAGGCGAGUCUCUGGACAUUUCCUGACGCUGAGGCACGAAAGCCAGGGGAGCAAACGGG